AAUUAUUUAUAAAUGAAAAGUGAUAUAUAAUUUGUAUUUAUAUUUAAUGUAAUUUGUAUUUGUAUUUAUAUUUCCAUUUGUAUAUCAUAGUUUUAUAUGUAUAUAUUGAAAAAUCAAUUGUGCGUUUGAAGUAAUCGAUUUUGAAGAUAUCACGUGAGAUCUUUCCAUUCGUUAGUAAUUAAUAUGUUUUAAUGGAUGAUAUGUUAUUUAAUGGGACAAUGACAAUUUUUGUACUUUUUUUCAUUUCUCUAAUUUUAAGUUAUAAAAAUAACUUUCGAGGUAAUGUAAAUCCAAAGAAAACAUCAGUUAUGUAGACAUUAAUUAUCAGGACAAUUUGUGGCAGAGAUCUAUUAAGGACAAUGUCUGUGAGUCAGUGCCCGCCUUAACGUCUUCAGUCACCUAAACAGAGUUGAAAAAGACACCAGUCGUUAUCACAUCUUUGAAUAUAUUUAUAGGGUCAGAAACCUACGGACAAAAGUAUUCACUCCUCUGCGAAAUCAAUAGACAAGAUUUACGUUCUCAGUACUUUCAUGAGAAGAGAUCCUUCCAACUGGAAUAGAAAUAAUUUGAUAUUCGAAGUGAAAGAACCCUAUCGUGAUUUGUAAAUCAAUCCUCGAACAUGAAGAUUCCGUAUCAACCUACGGGGUGAAACAUUCUUUUAAAUGCUUCUACGUUGCUUUCAAAGUAAAUCAUAAGAUUUACACUGAAACCAGUAUCGUGUAAGUAACAAUAUUAUAUCUUUUGUUUCUAAAAGACAGAAACCUAAAUAGACAAUUAAAAAUAUUUAUAUAUAAAUACAAACUCACGUUAAAUUACAAAUCGUCGAUUGAUAAGAAUCUAUUAAUUAUUUUUUAGGAAUCUAUUUCAAAUAUACGCAAAAGUAAUACAAUGUACAUAAUUAAAUGACGUAACAAAUUGUACAAUAGUUAAAACGAAGUAUAACCAAAAUAUUUAUAUUAACUAAAUCGAUAUAAACAAGUUCAAUACAAAAUAUUAAACUCAUUUAUAAUAUGUUAAAUGUAUUUAUAUACGUGUCAUUUGUAGGUCACUUGAUAUUAUUGUGAUCUUAGGAAUCGAUUUCUUUGUUAUAUUUGAGGAUAAACAUUAACUGAAAUAUUUUUAACUGUUUUUACAUCAACGGUCAAACGUCUUCCAAGAACUUCUGAAUAAUGUACCAAGUUGUCUUGUGUGUCGCGACAAAUGUCUCUACGUUACGCAUUUGUCGCGACAUGUCGUUUUAUUAUCGUACGUGUGAACGUGAACGAAAGUACGAUUGAUAUCGACUACUUUUAUAAAUUCCUAAGCUUUCCUGACGCAUCAAGAAAAUAGCAGAGUUUCAUGAGAGAGCGUCACAAAGUCGGGUUGGAUCGGUUACGGAAAGAAGUAAAAUCGUAAAUGGUCGUAAAAGUGGAUACGCGAGAUAGCAGGCGCAUACACAAUACUGGUACUUCUUUUGAAAGUUGUUUCAUUUGAGGAUCGAAUCAAUGUGUCGAUUAAAGCGGUUCUCACUUUCUUUUUAUUUUUCUAAUUCUUUCUUCGAUUUUUUUCAUCUAUUAAAUUUUGCAAUUAAAAAGGAUUUUAUUACUUCAGGAGACACCGACGAAAUAAAUAAAUAUAAACAGUAAGUUAUAUAUUAGAUUGACCACUUGAUAUUAUUUUGAGAGAAAUUAUAAAUAUCCGUGGUACGAUAUACUCUACGAAAAGAUUAAACUCUUCUUUGGGCUAUAAUCAUCAACGACGAGGAGAUUACGACGGUGAAACGGAGAGGAAAGAGAAAGGGAGUUAUUUCACUUGAUUAAAUGCCAAUUUAAAUCGAAUAAUUUGUCAACCACUUUACUCGAAUGAAAUUUUUUUUUAAAUU